UUGAAGGCUGGAAUGAAUGGUUGGACAAGAAAUAAGCUGUCUUAAAUAAAAAUAUUGAACUUAACUUUUAAGUGAAAAGGCUUAAAUUUUCUAAAGGGACGAUAAGACCCUAUAAAACUUUAUAUUUAAAAGUAAUUGCAAUUAUUAUUUAAAGACUUUAUUUUUAAAUAUUUUAUUGGGGUGAUAAGGAUAAAAUAUAAGACAACUGUCUUUUAUUUUAACAAUAAUUUUUGAGUAAAUGAUCUUAGUAAAGGAAUAAAAGAUUAAGUUACUUUAGGGAUAACAGCGUAAUUUUCUUUGAGAGUUCUUAUCGACAAGAAAGUUUGCGACCUCGAUGUUGAAUUAAAAGUUCUUUAUAGAGUAGAGACUAUAUUAGAAGGUCUGUUCGACC
rnacentral:rRNA from 1 species